AUUGUCAUGCUUAGAAUACCUUGACCCACUGGCCGGAGACAUGCUAUGCAAAUGUCUCCCUCGGCUUUGGGAUAAUCCAUCAUCCUGACUGAAACAAGAACCUUCAACAGAAUACCCAACCUGAAGAUGGUAAAAUAAAAAAGCAUUUUAAAAAAAGAAAAACUUUUUCAUCAACUAUAACCUCAUAUCCAAACAUUAGCACCAGAAAAAUAUGGCAAGAAAUUUGGACCGUCCAUAAAAAUCAAAACUCAGGAUUUCGUUGCUAACACAAAGGAUUUCAACCUGACUGUCUACGAUAAUGAUAAACAUGCAAGAUAAAUCUAACUUUAAAAAAAAAUUAAAAAAAAAAGAAAAAGUGAUAAUUAAUUGUAAUUGCAUAAAUUAAUUGAAUAUGGGUAUAUAAAAAUUCUCCAAAUUUAGCCACCGAAGCCCUUCAAUUUUUACCAAGAGCUAAACCCUACACGUAAUUUUUUUUGAAAAAAGUAACAAAAAAGAAACGCAAAAAUGAGUAACUAGUAAAGUCAGGGAAGAAAAUUACAGGGCUGCGACCUUGAUCAGAAUAACCUCCGCGACGCGAAGAUCGGCCACCGCGACCAGAAUAACCAGGAGUAGUUCGACCGCGGCCCCGAUUCAUGUUUUCCGGUGGAUCAAAUGGAGAGAAAAUGUAAGGAUACUGGCGGAAAAUUUAUUGAGUAGAAUUUUUGCGACUAGCUUCUUAUUUUUAAUUUUUUUAUUAUUAAAGUGAUGAAGACAAUCAGGUGCAGAGGAAUCUUAAAAAGGGCGAGAAAUCUGAAAAGGAAAUUAAAGAGGAUUUAACAAGAAAAGAAUUUUGGGUUUCUGACCUUUUAGUUCAAGAAAUUUCAUUUUCUAACAAAUAUUAAGUUUUUAUUUGGAUGUCUAAUUUUUUAAAAAUAAAUAAAUUUUUAGUUGAAAUUUUUUUAGUUUACAAUAAAUUAUUAUUUUUCAUUGGUGCAUACAAUAAAUUAUAAAUUACCUUUUGCUAAGUGAAAAUUGGGUUAAACUUCCAUUAUUUUUUUUUCAUUAAUUUUUAUUACAUUCAUUA
rnacentral:lncRNA from 1 species